CAACAGUUUUGGUCCUGGGCUAACCGUUGUUUUUUAUUAAGUUUAUACAUGCAAGUUUCAACACACCAGUGAAAAUGCCCACAAUCCCUAAAAAGAAAGCUGGAGCGGACAUCAGGCACCACUAAAUGAGCCCACAACGUCUUGCCACGCCACGCCCCCACGGGUGUUCAGCAGUAAUAAAUAUUGAACCAUAAGUGAAAACUUGAUUCAACUAUAAUGCAACCUAGGGCUGGUUAAUUUCGUGCCAGCCACCGCGGUUAUACGAAAAGCCCGAAACAACGACUUAACGGCGUAAAAUGUGACUAGAGAUUAAUAUAUCAAAAAUAUUAUAAACCUGUUACCCAGUUGUAAAAUACUUAAAGGAGCAGAGGAAGGCCGACAAAAAUAUUUUUAAUUAUAUUCUUGAAUCCACGAAAGCUUAGAAACAAACUAGGAUUAGAUACCCUACUAUGCUAAGCACUAAACACUGAGGAAACACCAUACAACACCCUCCGCCAGAGAACUACAAAUGAAAAAUUUAAAACUCAAAGGACUUGACGGUGUCCCAUACCAACCUAGAGGAGCCUGUCCUAUAAUCGAUAACCCCCGCUUCACCUAACCUUAACUAGCAUCUUUCAGCCUAUAUACCGCCGUCGACAGCCUACCCUAUGAGGGACAAAUAGUAGGCAAAAUAGCCUAACCGCUAACACGUCAGGUCAAGGUGUAGCAAAUGUUAAGGGAGAGAUUGGCUACAUUUUUUAUAAUAAAAAACACAAAAAGUACCAUGAAACAGUACAUGAAGGUGGAUUUAGUAGUAAAAUAAAUCAGAGCCUUUAUUUUAACACUGCUCUGGGACGCGUACACACCGCCCGUCACCCUCCUCAAAAGCAACUAUAUAUUAUAUAAACAGAAACUCCAUACUAGAGGAGGUAAGUCGUAACAUGGUAAGCGUACCGGAAGGUGUGCUUGGACUAA
rnacentral:ncRNA from 1 species